UUUUCUCGUUUUCUCACGGAGAGAGAGAGAGAGAGACAAAAGCUUGGCUCACAGGAUGACUUUCAAUAGAUCGCAGCGAGGUAGCUGCUCUGCUACUCACGAAAACCUUGACCCAGAACCCCGUCGUCUACGAAUGAUUUAGCACCGGGUUCCCCCUCGAACGUGCGGUGCGCUUGGAGAGAGAUGGCACGCCCUCGUUCCGUCUGCCUUCCGGUCUCUAAGCGAGCGGCUCUGCCCACCGGCUCCCCCGGCGAGGGCCGGCUAUCGUCGGC